AGGACCGCGUUGGAGAAGCAGGGCACGUGCAUGCUUGUUGAUCUUCUUCCUCUUCAUCUUCCUCCUCUAGCUCCGUGGGUUGGAAGUUUAGAUAGAACUCGCACUGCACGUGGUCUCCUUCUCCAUCCCGGUCUU
rnacentral:pre_miRNA from 1 species